AAGAGAAGAGAAGAGAAGAGAAGGAGUACUGGUCAGAGAGGGCAUGAAGGGAGAUCCUUUGAUGCUGAAGAGCCGGAUUUCUCAUCAUGACGUGAGAGGGUUCUGUUUUGUGUCGGCCAGGCAGCAGAUCAGAAACACGUAGGAACAUCUCUCGAAGUGUCAAGGCUCCGCCGCUCCUGAUUGGCCCAGGCCAGAGCCGCCGCUGCCCUCCAUUGGCUGGGCCGAGGACGAAUGCGCCUGCUGACAGUCAAUGGGGGCACACGGGGGUGAGUUGUGUGAGGUAUGGGCCGCCACAUUCUUCAGCGCUGAUCAAGUCUUAUGAACUUUCACUGAUGAGUGUGUGAGAGAGACAGUAUGUGUACGUGUGUGUGUGUGUGUGUGUGUGUGUGUGUGUGUGUGUGUGGUGCGUAAUGUGCAGUAGAAUGAUGGCCUGUAGGGACCCAGUCUAUAAUUCAGGCUAGUCUAAAGGUGAGCUCGGACCAUCAGUAACUUACAGCACACACUCACACAUUACACUCACACUCAUUUGUCUUAUUUAUAUGUAUGUGUAGCUUCAUAGAUAUGUCUUAUAUACAGUUAUAAACUGUGCAAUUAUUUAAUGCCAUUGUUUUUAAUCUGAGAAAACUCUAUGCAUAUAUGUUUUAAUAUGGAAUAUUGUGAGAUGUAUUGACUUAAC
rnacentral:lncRNA from 1 species